rnacentral:tRNA from 1 species
GCCUGGGUGGCUCAAUGGUUGAGCGUCUGCCUUUGGCUCAGGGCAUGAUCCCAGAGGUCCUGGGAUCGAGUCCUACUUCGGGCU